ACAAAUAAAAAGUUCUUGUUUGCGCACCACAACACAUAACACACCAUACAAAUAGAGAUCGAAAAAAAAUACAAGUCCACCCACGUUCAUUGAACCGCUCGUUAAUAUUAGAGUAAUUUGAAGACUGGUUAUCCCAUUCCCACAAGAUCCCACUUUAACAAUAAAAAGAGAGAAAAAAAACCAGAGGCAAAACAAAAAGCAUCGUAUAAAGCAAUAGAGUCACAGAGAGAGGAGUUGGGAAGGGGGAGUGAGAGAAGAGGGGCUAUAAACGAAUUGGUUCUCUAGAUUGAGCAUCUUCUCUCUCUGGUGCCUUGUUCCUCAUAGGUGCCUACACAACUUCCUCGAAGAAGAACUGAAUCUGCACAGGGAUAUCAUGUAUAAAUAUUAUUUCACGGAAACAAAAUAAACAGAGAGAGAGAGAGAUGGCUUGAAGAGGAAGUGAAGAGGCCAUACCAGUACAUAAGAAGAGAGUGCAUGACUAUUUGCAGUGUUCUAAAUUAUAAUCAAUAAACCAAAAACCAACUCAUACAAUCAUUUAAAGAAAGAAAACAGAGCACGCCUGCUUAUCUCUAACAUUAUAUCUCCAUGUCCAUUCACUCACCAUUUAUAUAUAAUCCACACAUAAACCAAUAGAUUUCCGAACAUCAAACAAACCAAAAGUCUUCCUCUGUGAGGAACCAUACCAUACAGAUUGUUUUUUUCUAGCAAUAUAUCUCCAUGUCACCGUUCAUAUAUAAUCCACACAUAAACCAAUAUGUGUCCCAAUAUCAAACAAACCAAUAAGUAUCCCUAUGUGAGGAACCAAGAGUCACCACACCAUACACAUUGUUUUUGAUAUAAUAAAGGUCUUUUAUAAUUAAAGAAGAAAGAGAGAAAAGCAACUAGAAAUCCUUCGACUAAAGCUCCACCGUCUAGGGGAAGUUCCCACCCUUCAUAACGCAUUUCCCGACGUCCUCCCCUAGGGAGCCCAACCUUACCGACCUUUGGCACCGGGUUGACGUCCUUCCCCGGUUAGCCCAACCUUACCGACCCUUAGCUCCGGGUUGGGUGUGGCUAGAAAUGAGGCAAUGAACACUUGCAAAGAGCUAGAUUCACAAUGAUCAGAGACGGGGCUCCAGUUACCUUUAUCACGACCUUCGUCUUUCAGCUAACUACGCUAUUAAAACGUACUACGGGAAAAUGGUGGCUAAAAUAUGUGAUUUUGGUAUCGAGUGUAGCAAGUCCACCAAAAUCACAUGUUUUAGCGACCGUAGUACACGUAAUAGCGUAGUUUGCUGACAUGCGAAGGUCGUGAGAACCCGUAUCUGAUCAUUACGCAAUCUAGCUCUUCG
rnacentral:lncRNA from 1 species